rnacentral:lncRNA from 1 species
GAUAAUGAAAAGACCCUAUAACAAAGCAUUAUAUAUUUAUUUUUAGACAUUGGAAGUCUAGACUUCAUGCAUCGAUGUUUCAUGCUUUAUUGUGUAAGUGGACGACAACAUAUUCCAUGCAUCUUUUCUUACAUUAACUUUGAGAAUCAAUCCGAAAACUCUUGACGUUUGGAAUUUUUUCGUGCUUAAUAUGUAAGAAGAUUUUCUAUUUCUAUUAACGUCUAGGGUUUUCAGUAAAAAAAGUCUACAAGGAUUUCAAAUAAUUUGCGACACUGCUUAUAUAUUAUGCUGGAAGACUUUAACAAAAAAA